GGCCUUUACACCACGUUCGCGUGUCUCUUCUCUCUUGUUUCCUUCCCCGGGUAUUCCGCGAUUAGCGCUGGCGAUUCACCAAGGUAAAACUAUGUAUGCGAAUGGUGAGUGGUCUGCUGUAGCACGGUGUGUGCACGAGGAAACAAGGUCUUCUCUUUAAGAACCUCGAACCCGGUAAACAUCGUGGGUGGCAGAGAUAGUAAAAGCGACUAGUUCGCCUACCCCCACAUGAAUUGUCGCAAAGAUGAUGAGGGACGACAACAAGUAGGUAAGGUAAAGUAAAGUAAGAAAGGAAGAAUAGUGAUAGCAUUAAUAGUAGUGGGUAUAACUGUCACGGAAAUGAACAUAUCACACUCCAAAACGGACUUGUUGGUGUAUGAGCAAUUUUUCGCACCCAUUUUCCCUCAUUUUGCCAAAUGAAACCAUAAUGCUGCAAGAUUGCUGAAAGUAUCGGGAAAGCCUAGUAAGAAAUGGUCCAACUCGUUAUGCAGCGAUACCCUACCCUCCGUCAAGCAAACGAGAUGGUUGUGUAAGGCGAGGCACAAGACUUCAAAAAGUAUGCAAAUUAGCAACAGAUAGUAUACCCUAAAUUCCAAACGAUAUCUUCUAUCACAGAAUCAGAUUUCUUAUAGUAAGUUCAUGAUAACUUUGAAGAAACUUGAGUUUGAUAGCAUUAGUAAAUAAAUCCCCAAUAACGAAGGAGUAUGCAAUGUCACAUCGAUAUCUAUGCUUCUAGCAUUGCUGAUUCUGACUUGACUUUUCUAUCUCGUCGUCGGUGCACAAGUUGAUACUACUUUGGCAGAUGUUUCUCCUUUGAAUUUAUGAACUUUUAAACAAAUUGCUUUUUGUUUCUAUGCCCAUUCCUUAUCAAUUGAAAAGGAGAGAGGAGAGAAAAGGAAAAAAAAAAUUUGACCUCUUUUUGGUUUUUUGGUUUUUUUUUUUUUUUUUCGCUCUCUAAAACUUAUCUACCACACCUCUUCGUCAUGUAAUUUGAACUAUACUUUUCACGUUAAAAACCUUUUCCCCCUUUGAUUCCGUCGAAAGUUUCACGGAACCAAUGUUUCCAGUGUUUUCAUAGAGUUAACAAUGCAUGUUUACCUACUAGUUGGAAAAAAUUCGCAACACUUGUUACUAAGUGCUAUAAACUGAACAUUGCAUUUUUCUAUAUUUUUUGCAUGUUAAUUAUUUAUUUCAUUGAGCCGUCCAUAAUGCUUGUUUUCUUUGCGCCUACUUAACAUCAAGUCGUUCUCGUCUUAUCAAUUGAUCCUUCUGCUAAUAGAUUUUUUAAAGUAACAAACGUCUAUAGAGACGCGCAUUAUGAAGUCCAACAAGUAUCGCUAGUUUAAUGAUAAGUAAGGAAGGGUUUCAUUUACGAAUUGUCUUCUUUCAAACAUAGGUUACUGUUUCCUUCUUUGAUAUUCGGGUACCUGCAUAUCACCCAUAUGUAUUUCCUAUUUCCGUUGAUAAAAUGUCAUAUCACUUAAUUUUCUCUUCUCGUCAUUUUUUAUUCCGACCCUUGUUUUUAUCGAACAUUCGUUAAAUCUAUAGAUAAACUCCAACGACCGCGUAUUGUGUUGGGCAAAUUUGCUUAACCCCUUGCUCUGUCUCUUCCGACUUCUUCUUUCCUUCUCUAUCCAUCCUAUCUUACUAUCAUAUCAUUGAAAUGUCUCGUGUCCGUGUAGGCGAGAAUGACGGACGGACAUCCUCAGAUCAGAUAUAGAGUCCAUCUCUUACGGAAUACUUUAAUAAUGUAAUAACGUGUAACUUAAUGGUUGUUUACUAGUUAUAGCGUGACCUGUCGUACCUUUUUUAUUUAUCAAAAGUUAUUUUGUUUGUUCUAGUCAUUAUGUGCUGCUAUUCAUUGAAGCUCUACGAUAUUGAGGGAACAGGAACGUUGCUGGGCUGAGAGGUCGCAUACUUCAUGAACGCUCCAAACACCCCCAAGUAGCCUUCAUGUCUUAAAAAAUAUGCAUUCAUGGUAUGGUUGCUCCAAUACUGAAUGGCAUAUGUCAACGUGUGCAUAGUUUGAACGUGGUUGCGGAUGAAGCUGCCGCCAAAGUAGAUGUUUUGAACAUUGUGCUUUUGCGCGUGCAAAUAAGCAAUUUGCCCAAUGUUGUUGCUAAUGGCCAGUAGUAAAGACCUGGAAAUAUCCUGAGGCGCAAACUCUUCCAACGGUUUUCUUUCACGAAACACUUUUCCAAAUGAACUAGCAAUAGUGGUGCUUUUUAGUCCAAAUCGUUCGUAGCCGAUAUCCUUUCCAUAAAUAUCUCCUACAAGCAUAUCCACACUUGUGUUAUCUCCUCCCUUGGACAACUCUAACAUCUCGUCAAACGAGUUUGCUGGUGUCAACAACGACAACAAUCCCCAAAGCGUUCCCCCUCCUAAAGACGAACCACCAAUUCGUUCAAACUGUGAUGGACCAGUAACCUUAAGAAUGCUGACACCCGACCCAAUGUUGACAAGCAUGUGCGGGUAAUGAUAGCAAUUCAGAUGGUUUUGAAAUGUUAAUUCGCACGUAUCCAAGUCCAACACAAAAACUUCUCUUGGUAUACACGAAACAAAAUAGUUAAGGCCCAUAAUCAAACAUUCCAUCUCAUCUUCUCUAAUAACCUUGAUGUCCAAUUGUUUAGACAUCCUAUCGUAGAAUUUAUAUGCCCCACCGCCAGUAGCUAUCAAUGUAAUCUUUUUUUU